UGCAGUCGAGCGAGCGGAACUAACAGAUUUACUUCGGUAAUGACGUUGGAAAGCGAGCGGCGGAUGGGUGAGUAACACGUGGGGAACCUGCCCCAUAGUCUGGGAUACCACUUGGAAACAGGUGCUAAUACCGGAUAAGAAAGCAGAUCGCAUGAUCAGCUUUUAAAAGGCGGCGUAAGCUGUCGCUAUGGGAUGGCCCCGCGGUGCAUUAGCUAGUUGGUAAGGUAAAGGCUUACCAAGGCGAUGAUGCAUAGCCGAGUUGAGAGACUGAUCGGCCACAUUGGGACUGAGACACGGCCCAAACUCCUACGGGAGGCAGCAGUAGGGAAUCUUCCACAAUGGACGCAAGUCUGAUGGAGCAACGCCGCGUGAGUGAAGAAGGUUUUCGGAUCGUAAAGCUCUUUUGUUGGUGAAGAAGGAUAGAGGUAGUAACUGGCCUUUAUUUGACGGUAAUCAACCAGAAAGUCACGGCUAACUACGUGCCAGCGGAAAAAAAA
rnacentral:rRNA from 1 species